GUUGAUAUCUUCAGCUCAAUAUACAUAUAGUCCCACUUCAACUUCCAAAUUUUGCCCUUUGGGAAUGGAAAAACAGAGGGACAAAUUGCUAGGUGAUAUGUUAUUGUUUCUUUAUUUACAUAGGGAAAAGUUUUGCAAUUACAGUUCAGAAAAUAAUUAAAAUCUCAGCCAAGGAUCUUUCUUUUCAACACGGGGGAAAGGUGAUUUAUUUUUUCAGUUCCUUUUUAAGUUGCUGGUUUUAGGAUCCAAUAACUGUAAUUACAACAGUAAAAUUUCAUUUUGUAAUUCAAUUCUGGGAUGUCCUUAGCUAGAAAUACACAUGAUGACUAGAAAAAUGUAACACUUAUCAGGUAAAAUUAUCCAGAUAUUUUUUAAAAGGCCAAACAUAAAUCCAUAACAAUCCUGGCAUUGAGCUAAGCUUAAAUGAUAGUUAGGUUAUGGUGCGUAUAUGUCACUCUCUUGUAAGGAAACAAAGGUGUUCUUAUAUUUAUCUGAAUCUGUCUCCUUCAACCACCUUUUCCAUCUUCAUUCAAGCCAAUUAUAAAAAUAAGGCAAUUAUUGAGCCCAAUAUUCACUGAUAGCCAAGCAGGAAGCUUUUUGGGUGUGAACCAGCUUUUGGGGAUGACUCAUUGGAAGCCAAAUGUUUAUAUGGAAAUUUCUCCCUAAAAUGGUACAAAAGCAAAUAUUUAUAAACAUGUUAAAAAAGCAUUGUGGAACUCUUGGGAGGAGGGGCGAAAAUACUGCCACCCAUUCCUAAUUACACCAUUUUGAUAAAAAUUGCUUUGCUACCUACCAUGGAGGCUGGCCCAGGCCUUAAGCCUUUCAGUAACAGGGUUGCUAUAUAGUUGUGAGUCAACUGUCCCGACUCACAAUAUGUCUUAUUUAGAAAUGUGACUCUGUUUGGAUAAUCUCAACCCAAUUUGUAUUUUGAAUGCAUUGAAAAUUCAUGUGCUACUUGUGAAAAUUUUGAGUUUCCUAUAGGUAGCUUUCUCAAUUGCAAUCUAUACAAAUAGAGGUCACAAGAAAGGUGGUUAAAAAUGGAAAUUUGUUUCUUACUGAGCAAUUUUACCCCAAAUGGUGUAGGCAUUUUAUUUAAAUUCUGCACCAUGAUGUUGACUAUUGUUUUAAAUGCUCUUUUUUUACCCCUCAUUCUGACAGAAAUUUUUGGCAUUUACCAGGUUCCUGCUUAGACUGACUAGGCCCUAGAUCCCAUGACUAAGGAGAUGGGGCCUAUGGAAAGUUAGCUCCUGUUACAAGCUGUCUUGGCAGUCAAGGUGAUGGUGGGUGGAAGGCGGGUGUUUUUCUAUCUGGUCCUGAAUUGAAAAGGGACCAGGGGAUCAGGAGGUGAUCCAGACAAGCUUAACCAAGCUGCCUGCCCUUAUGAUCCCUAUUAGGGUUCCUAGGUUUGUUGGCAUAUUUUAAAAAGAACACUGAGCCAGCCAGGUGUUGAUGAUUGAACUCGUUGAGCUAAUAAACACCAGAACUUUUUUAGAAUUUUGUCUUGCAUCCAAGAAAUCAAUGGAAAGUACUUAGAACAGGGACCCAAAAAGAUGCAAAUACUAAGGCUAGUAUCAAGAAGAGAUAAUUUCAUUUUGAUUUCCAUACUUGGGACUGGUGUUAUCUAUUUCUAUAACAAAAACAUCCUGACCAGAUAAGUAUAUGGUAUGGACUAUAUUUAUAGAUAUAGCUCCUGCUUCCUUUAGCCAAGAUCACAAGAAAACAAGUUCUCUAGAUAAAUAAAUUUCCUAGAUUGCUGGAUCUUCCUGUUAACUACCAAAACAUUAAAAAAACAAAACAACAACAACAACAAAAACAGAAAAUGGAAGGGUCUCUGUCAAGUAUGAUUAAAGGGAGAGGGCCAGAUAAGUGAAAUUUAUACUUCUCUGUUUUAAUUCUUUUUUAUAAGGAAUGAAUUUUAAAAUAACUAAUAUGUACUAUUUUUAAAAAUUCACUUGAAAAUAUCUCUAUAUAAAUAAAUGAGUUAUGUACUUCUGAUCUCUCAAACUGAGCCAAAAUGAGUUUUCUUUUGAUGGUUCAUUAUCAUCAUUAUAAAACUCAAUUCUUCUCUCUGCCACAAAACAAUGAUACCCUCAAGUAGUCCUAUAGUGUUCUAAAUGGUUCAUUCCUACACUAAAUGUCCUCAGAGUUUUAAUUUACUCCUCACAAAUUUUCUGUAGUCUGCUUUGAUAUGAGAUUGUCAGCUGUCAUUUCACACUGACAGAAUUCCACCUAUCUUUAACAGCCUCUCAUUCAAAUUUGUUGUUUUAACUUGAUGCUGCCAAUCAGCUGACUGGUUGGUAAGUCACACAAAACUUUGUUAAUAGUCUACAUAAAAUAAAGUUAAAUGGGCAUAGUGUGAAUGCCCAAGGAUCAUUUCUAUGAGCAAUGCAUAUUUUUAAGAAAAGCUUUAGCACAUUUCUUUGGAGGUUUUAAUCUCAUCCUUUCUACUUAUAUCUCAGCUAUGUUUCAGACAGUGGGUGCCACUGGAUAAGAGUUAUGUGUAAGUUAAAUGAGGCUCUGCUGUCAUUUAAUAAAAUGAGUUGCAUCAUUUCUUCCUUCCCUCGUGAAAUUGCUCAGUGGUGGUACAGAUGGAUACCUGUAUAGGAGUACAAAAUUUGCCACCAUAAAAUAUCUCUGGCAUAAGGAUUAUUUCAAGCUGAAAACAAUCAAGGCCCAAAAGACUCAGGAAGAAACUCUGAUCUGCUCCCUAACUGUCUGAAGAAUUUAGGUAGAGGACCUGUUGUAGGAACAGAGCUAUUAUUAGAGGUAUCUGCAAAGAAUAUGGGCUGGGUCCAGCGGAAGGAACUCAAAGAGAUCAGACUUUAUUCUGCAUGGCCCAGCAAACAUUUAUUUGCCAAACAUUUGCUUUUCCAGCUCCAUGUGAGAUGCCUUUCUCCCCUCUGAAGUCACAAACCACUUGUGACUCUCUCUUUUGGGCACUCUCUUUUUUCUAGAAUAAUACUUAGAAAUAAUUACCAGCAUUUGGAUAACCAAGGAUUCAUUUAUAGUAAAUGUUCUCAGGUGUGAUAAAUAUAUAUUUGGUCUUUGUUACUGGUUCCUGACACACAGCUUCUAAAACUCUUAGAAUUUCUUGAAUAGGGUGAUAGGAGAAUCUCUUGUUAUUUAUAAUAAGCCUCUUUCAUUCAUACCUGAAUUGUAUAUGUUAAUGACAUAACUCUUGGUAGGCCUCUAGAUAGCUUCAGGAUGAGGGAUGGUUGUGAGGAAACAACCCUGUGAUUAGAGAGUUAGAAUUUUCAGACCCAUCCCACUGACCUCCAAGAAGAGAGGGACUGGAAUUUAUUUAAAUACCAGUGUUCAAUGAAUUAAUCAUCAUGCCCAUGUAUGAAACUUCCAUAAAAGCCCCUAAAUGUUCAGAUUCAGAGAGGUUUGCUGAUUGGUGAUCACAUCAAGGUGCGAGGAUUAGGUAUGCCUAGAGAGUUCUGUGCCACUCUCCCCACCAUCACGUUAUUCUUUGUCCAAUGCACCUCUUCCAUUUGGCUCUUUCUGAGUUGUAUCUUUUGUAAUAAACAGGUAAUAGUAAGUAAACCAUUUCUGAGUUCUGUGAGCUGUUCUAAUAAAUUACGGAACCUUCAGAGGGGAGGUCACAUGAACCCCAAAUUAUAGCCUAUUGAUCAGAGAAGUACAGGUGGCCUGGGACUUGAGAUUGUUGUCUGUGAAGUGGGGGAAAUCUUAUAGGAAUGAU
rnacentral:lncRNA from 1 species